GAAGCCUGUCAGGUCACAAAACUCCUGCCUGCCUCUCUCCCCACAAUCUGGAGGCGGAGAUGACUACAGAACUAUUUAUUCAGCCUGCAAUGCACCAACUCCAUUUGUCAGCCGGCUUGAGCAGGUGAACGAUGGCAGGACGUGUCGGUCACCUAGAGGGUAGCAGCUGCUCCAAGUUCUGAAGAGCCCCAAGGAGGAAGGGCCGCCUCAUGUUGUGUGCCAGGAAGCAGCAUCUUGCUGUCCACAUGGAUCUGUACUCAGCCUCCACACACCUGGGCCAGGAUGUUGGGCACCAUCCAUUAUGCCAAUGAUCACACAAGUCUCCAGCUUCCUGGGGAGCUAAGGAAGCAGGAUGAUGGCUCAAGUACCUGAGUUCUUACCACCUACCUGGCAGACCCAGAAGGAAUACCUGACUCCCAGCUUUAUCAUUCGUGUGCAUUUGAGGAGUGAACCAGCAGAUGGAGAUCCUGGCUAAUGCAAUGCAUCUCCACCCAGUCCUCCAAGGAUAAAAACAAACCCUGAGAAAAAUAAGAAGAGUUCCCAAUUCUCUCAGCUCUGCCUGAUUCUCCAACCUCCUACUUCACCCACACUGAGCUUCUCACACCUUCUGCACUGGACACUUCCAUGUCUCUCAUGUUUCACCCAUCUUGUUCCCUCCCCAGGAAAAGUCUAGCUCUUUGCUUGGCACUUCCAUAACAUUGUCUUAUCCAAAAAACUGCCCUGACUUUCACAGGAAGUGAGCAGGGGGGGAUGACAUCUCUGUGACCUGCAACCUCUGGGAAAACUUCUCUGUAGCACCUUCAUGGAAUGAUUUUGUAUGUAUGUAUCUCUCCCGAGAUCCUGAGGGUUUUAGGCACCAGGACAUGAUCUCUUAGAACAAAGCAGAGGGUCUGGAGUAUUGGCGAUCCCCUGUGAAUGUUUGAGUGAACAAAUGCUAACAUUUAAUGAAACAUUAUUCCAGCGAAGUACCUGGUGAUAGCCUAAGGAACAGCUACCAUCAGAUAAAUCUGUCCAGAAAAAGUCUCCUGAAGAUAUAUUAAUAUUCAAGUGACUCUGAGAAUAAUCACCUUAAUCUUCCAUGAGAAAAAACAUCCCUCAGGGGUAUGGAAAUAUUAUUAAAUUCUCUUCCUAUAUCCCAAACCCAUCGCUACACACCCCCUUCAACGUCAUCCUGAGUAAGCCUCUGAAACCUGACCCAAAAGCUAUGAAACGAACUGGACGUGUGUCAGCUUGGCAAAGGGGUCUGCUGCUCUCCUGCACACUCCACACAUGCAGCCCCCAGUGCAACCUGCUUGGGUUGGGCAACAGAGGGAGAGAAGUGAAGUUCUUGCUACGGUUUCCAUCUUUGUCCCCCCAAGCUCACACAGGAGUUUAGUCCCCUAAGCUUUAUGUUAAUAGUUCUAAGACAGUAGAAACUUAAUCCAGUUAUGGUGUUGACAGUCUUUGGGAGGUCAUUUCUCUGGAUUAGGUCACUCGAGGGGAGUCCCAGGAUUGCUUGCUGGUGGCUUUCUACAAAGGGUUGGAGGCCACACGUAGACAGGCAGGUGUGCUCCCCCAUUCUCGCCACAUGAUUCCCUGUGCUACAGUGGGACUCUGCCCUCACCCAAGGCCAAAUCAGUGGGUCAGGGCCUGCCCAAUCUUGGGCUGUGACCCUCCAGAAGCAUGAGCCAAAAUGAACUUUUCUUUAUAAAGUAGCCUAGUUCAGGUAUUUCACUGUAAUAACUUAAAGUUGACUGUUACAGCUAAGUUAUUAUAGAAGGACUUCCUGAAAGACACUAAGAACUAUCCCCAGCCUUUGUACUCCGGAGAUAUUAUGAUUCCACAAGUGUCGUGGAACACAGAGUAGGGGAGGUGGCACAAUCAGGAUUCAUCUCGGGAUUUUUAAUUCAGGCCUCUAAUGCAGCCAUCUUUCAGGUUGGGAGUUUGGGAUGGUUAAUUCCAUGUGUCAGCUGGGAUGAGCCAUGGAGUUCCCAGAUAUUGGUUGAACAUUAUUUCUGGGUAUAUUGUGAGGAUGUUUUUGGAUAUGAUUGAAAUGAAGGCAGUGAAGCAGACUUCCCUUCCCAGUGCAGGGAGCGCUCAUCCAGUCCACUGAAGAUCUAAACAGAAUGAAAAGCUAAAUAGGAAAGAAUUAACCUUCUGCCAAAUUGUCUUCAAGCUAGGACAUUGAUCUUAGGCCUUCAGAAUUGGAAUUGCAUUAGACUAUACCCUUGGCUGUCCUAAAUCUCCAGCUUCUGACCACAGAUCUUAGGACUUCUCAGCCUUCAUGAUCGUAUGAGCAAAUUCCUUAAAUACACACACACACACAGAGUACUUCAAAACGUGCAUGGAAAAUAGAAUCAAGAAAUAAGUUUAUGUUGGUGCAAAAAAUUUUGAAGUCCAUGCAUACCCUUUUCAUAUUAUGCAUUUUCUAUGAACUAUUAACUGUUUUUUUUUUU